AAAUUGAAGAGUUUGAUCAUGGCUCAGAUUGAACGCUGGCGGCAGGCCUAACACAUGCAAGUCGAACGGUAACAGAAAGCAGCUUGCUGCUUUGCUGACGAGUGGCGGACGGGUGAGUAAUGUCUGGGAAACUGCCUGAUGGAGGGGGAUAACUACUGGAAACGGUAGCUAAUACCGCAUAACGUCGCAAGACCAAAGAGGGGGAC
rnacentral:rRNA from 1 species